rnacentral:rRNA from 1 species
GACGAACGCUGGCGGCGUGCUUAACACAUGCAAGUCGAACGUGAUUUUUGUGGAAAUUCUUUCGGGAAUGGAAAUGAAAUGAAAGUGGCGAACGGGUGAGUAACACGUGAGCAACCUACCUUACACAGGGGGAUAGCCGUUGGAAACGACGAUUAAUACCGCAUGAGACCACAGAAUCGCAUGAUAUAGGGGUCAAAGAUUUAUCGGUGUAAGAAGGGCUCGCGUCUGAUUAGCUAGUUGGAAGGGUAAAGGCCUACCAAGGCGACGAUCAGUAGCCGGUCUGAGAGGAUGAACGGCCACAUUGGAACUGAGACACGGUCCAAACUCCUACGGGAGGCAGCAGUGGGGAAUAUUGCACAAUGGGGGGAACCCUGAUGCAGCGACGCCGCGUGAGCGAAGAAGGUUUUCGAAUCGUAAAGCUCUGUCCUAUGAGAAGAUAAUGACGGUAUCAUAGGA